UUAAAAAGCAAGCUUCUUGAUAAAAGAAAUUAUGGGAAUUAUUUUACUUACCAAAAAAACGUGUUCACAAUAAUUCCCGAUACCCUUGAUCUAAGACACAAACCUACUACUCACUCUCAGCUCCAGCACUGGGACAGCGGCUGGCGGGGCUACGGGACGGUAUGUGCGUCCAUCCAUGUCACAACAGUGACACCCAGUGGCUAGUUUGCUGAAGUGCUCUUUCAGGGGAAACACUGCGAGACCAACCCCUGCACAAGUGGGUGGCUCUCCUCAAGCGUCCUCUCUAGUGCACACGUCGUAAGCGGCUGCGAAGGGGGAGAAAGGAGCUGCUCCUCACGCUGAGUAUUGACAGGAAGCCAGCGCGAAACAAAGCCAGACCGGGGCAGUCCCUGAGACUCCCCAUCUGAGUGGAAGCCCUGGGCUCCCGAACAGCUCACAUUGUCCCCGUGUCUAAGCUUAUCUGCGAGCUCUCCUCUGAGAGGCAAACGUGUUGCAGUGAGGGGAAUCGGUCCUCGCGGGGACUCGUGUACCGGGACACGGCGCUCUGCGAGAGCCCACGCCUGCUCCCUGCACAGGCACACUCACUCCGACGAGCAUGGUGUUGAGUGCGAAGAGCUAAAAUUCACACCUGCCAGGCCUGCUCCGGCUCUGCCCCCAGCGCUGCGUCUGUGACAGUCUCUCAUUGGAGCAACGCAGCCUGCGUUCAUCUGUCCCUCCCGCCAGGCCACGUCCUGCUCCGUCUGCUCACACCCAGGUGGCUCCACAAGACUUUCACUGAAACAGCAGAUGACUCUUGCCUCCCACUGGGAACUGUGGUGCCAAAUGUUCCCCCUGCAACUUGCACUGGGGGCGCUGGAAGCAACCUGGGCCCUGGGCUGAGCCCGAGUCACCGUUACCUCUCCGGCGGAAGAAGCCGCAGCAUGCUCUGUGGGGUGGGAGCAGGGCCCCUGGAGCAGGGUGACCACCUAUUCCAGAAAACAGGCUCGGAGCUGCACGCAAACCAGAGACGCAGGACAGUCAGAACCAUGCGGGUACCAUCAGAACACAAAUGGUAAAGCCGUGAAUGUGAGCUCUUCACUCCAUGGAAAGGUCAGAUUUCGCCUGGGAUAAGCUGUUUUAGGUGUCUUCUAACAAUGGCCAGAAGGUGGCAGCCUAACCCGCCUGCAGCACAUGAACUCAAGCGCCAUUCUUCGUUCCAUUCUUCGCAGGGAGACAGCACUGAGGAGGCGAGGAGGCGAUGAGGAUUCAGAAAACAGGAGGGGAAGGCCUCAGAGACACACCCUCUCACCCACCUGACCACAGCACCUGGUGCGAUAACACCUGGAGAAACCUUUCUCUGUAAAAUCCUAGGCCUGAAAGCA